GUGCUCACUUCAGCAGCACAUACACAAAAAUUGGAAUAAUACGGAGAAAGUUAGCAUGGCCCCUGGGCAAGGACGACAGACAAAUUCGUGAAGUGUUCUAUAUUUUU
ensembl:snRNA U6 U6 spliceosomal RNA